CCUACGGGCGGCAGCAGUGGGGAAUAUUGGACAAUGGGGGGAACCCUGAUCCAGCCAUGCCGCGUGUGUGAAGAAGGCCCUCGGGUUGUAAAGCACUUUCAGUGAGGAAGAACGCCUGGUGGUUAAUACCCAUCAGGAAAGACAUCACUCACAGAAGAAGCACCGGCUAACUCCGUGCCAGCAGCCGCGGUAAUACGGAGGGUGCGAGCGUUAAUCGGAAUUACUGGGCGUAAAGCGCGCGUAGGUGGCUUGAUAAGCCGGUUGUGAAAGCCCCGGGCUCAACCUGGGAACGGCAUCCGGAACUGUCAAGCUAGAGUGCAGGAGAGGAAGGUAGAAUUCCCGGUGUAGCGGUGAAAUGCGUAGAGAUCGGGAGGAAUACCAGUGGCGAAGGCGGCCUUCUGGACUGACACUGACACUGAGGUGCGAAAGCGUGGGUAGCAAACAGGAUUAGAUACCCGAGUC
rnacentral:rRNA from 1 species